rnacentral:rRNA from 1 species
UACGUAGGCAGCGAGCGUUGUUCGGAGUUACUGGGCGUAAAGGGUGUGUAGGCGGUUUUCUAAGUUUGGUGUGAAAUCUCCCGGCUCAACCGGGAGGGUGCGCCGAAAACUGGGAGACUAGAGUGCGGGAUGGGAGAGUAGAAUUCCUGGUGUAGCGGUGAAAUGCGUAGAUAUCAGGAGGAACACCGGUGGCGAAGGCGGCGACCUGGGUCGAUACUGACGCUGAGGUGCGAAAGCGUGGGGAGCGAACAGG